AAAGGUAAGCUACUAAGAGCGAAUGGUGGAUGCCUUGACUGGUAAAGGCGAUGAAGGACGUACUAGACUGCGAUAAGCUACGGGGAGCUGUCAAGAAGCUUUGAUCCGUAGAUUUCCGAAUGGGGCAACCCAAUGUAUAGAGAUAUACAUUACCUAUAUA
rnacentral:rRNA from 1 species